rnacentral:rRNA from 1 species
UCUCGAAUCUUUGAACGCAAAUGGCGCUCUUGGGUUUUCCCAGGAGCAUGUCUGUCNUGAGUGUCG